UGCAAGUCGAACGAGAAAGUGGAGCAAUCCAUGAGUAAAGUGGCGUACGGGUGAGUAACACGUGGGUAAUCUACCUCUUAGUGGGGAAUAACCCUGGGAAACCGGGGCUAAUACCGCAUAAUCUCGAGAGAGGAAGGCAGCAAUGCGCUGAGAGAGGAGCCCGCGGCCGAUUAGCUAGUUGGGAGGGUAAAAGCCUACCAAGGCAGAGAUCGGUAGCCGGCCUGAGAGGGCACACGGCCACACUGGCACUGAAACACGGGCCAGACUCCUACGGGAGGCAGCAGUGGGGAAUCUUGCACAAUGGGGGAAACCCUGAUGCAGCGACGCCGCGUGAGCGAUGAAGCCCUUCGGGGUGUAAAGCUCUUUCGGCAGGGAAGAUUAUGACGGUACCUGCAGAAGCAGCUGCGGCUAACUACGUGCCAGCAGCCGCGGUAAUACGUAGGCAGCGAGCGUUGUUCGGAGUUACUGGGCGUAAAGGGUGUGUAGGCGGCCAUUUAAGUUUGGUGUGAAAUCUCCCGGCUCAACUGGGAGGGUGCGCCGAAUACUGAAAGGCUAGAGUGCGGGAGAGGAGAGUGGAAUUCCUGGUGUAGCGGUGAAAUGCGUAGAUAUCAGGAGGAACACCGGUGGUGUAGACGGCUCUCUGGACCGUAACUGACGCUGAGACACGAAAGCGUG
rnacentral:rRNA from 1 species